AUCACCUACGGGGCGCAGCAGUGGGGAAUAUUGGGCAAUGGAGGAAACUCUUACCCAGCAAUGCCGCGUGAAUGAAGAAGGUCUUCGGAUUGUAAAGUUCUUUAAUUGGGGACGAAAAAAAUGACGGUACCCAAGGAAUAAGCCCCGGCUAACUACGUGCCAGCAGCCGCGGUAAUACGUAGGGGGCAAGCGUUGUUCGGAAUGACUGGGCGUAAAGGGUGCGUAGGCGGUGUAGCAAGUUAGGAGUGAAAUACCUAGAGCUUGACUCAGGUGCUGCUUCUAAAACUGCUAUACUUGAGUGCAGU
rnacentral:rRNA from 1 species